UUAUGGUAGCAAUGGUACUUGACAAUCGGGAUAAAUUUACUUUGUUGCUUGUCAAAAUUUUCAAUAGAUUUAUUUUCCAUUAUCAAUUUUUAAAUUAUUAUAGCAACAGCGGCCAGCACUUUUUCUAGAUUUUACAUACUGCAUCUUUAAUCACAAACAUUCCAACCCAACUAAAAUAAUGGUUAAGCUAAUCGGUGGAUCACAUAUCAAACCAAACAUACUUUGCACUUUGUUUUUCCCUGAUUUACUUCUGUGAUGUUUUGGUUUCAAAUCAGUCAUAAUAUUUAAUGUUAGCCCAACUGGACAGUGGAGAGUAUAGCUAGAGGUAUCCCUGUGAUGGACCAUUGAUGCUGGAUAUAUCCUACGAAUUCGAAGUUGGCAAACGUCCGACUUCAAAGAUACAUAAUUGGACAUAUGGUGAAUAAAUAUUAACUGUACUGAGUAGAUACAGAGAUACUGUUAGCACUUUGGGAUGAGGCAGGAACAAUGAAAUAAAAUGAAAUGGGGUUUAACGUCCUACUCUUCUGCUCCUAAACUGGGCUAGUGAAGACCGGCAUACACCAUACAGUGUGCUAUGAGGUAAAUUUUAACUUGUCUAACAAUUACAGUGAGUUG